UGGAGCAUGUGGUUUAAUUCGAAGCAACGCGCAGAACCUUACCAGCUCUUGACAUGGACAGGUCGGGCACAGAGAUGUGUCUUCCCCGCAAGGGGCCUGUUGCACAGGUGCUGCAUGGCUGUCGUCAGCUCGUGUCGUGAGAUGUUGGGUUAAGUCCCGCAACGAGCGCAACCCUCGCCUCCAGUUGCCAUCAUUCAGUUGGGCACUCUGGAGGAACUGCCGGUGACAAGCCGGAGGAAGGUGGGGAUGACGUCAAGUCCUCAUGGCCCUUAUGGGCUGGGCUACACACGUGCUACAAUGGUGGUGACAGUGGGAAGCUAGGUCGCGAGGCCAUGCCGAUCCCAAAAAGCCAUCUCAGUUCGGAUUGCACUCUGCAACUCGGGUGCAUGAAGGUGGAAUCGCUAGUAAUCGCGGAUCAGCAUGCCG
rnacentral:rRNA from 1 species